GGAGCUAUAGCAGUUCGCUCGGCACGCCAUUUGCCCACGGCAGUCUGACUAAUCGAUAUUGUUUGCGGCGCGAGCCUUCCAAGCUGAAUACGAGGGUUCGAUUCCCUUCACCCGCUCCA
rnacentral:tRNA from 1 species